UUGCACGCUGGCGGCAGGCCUCACACAUGCAAGUCGCACGGUAACAGGAAGAAGCUUGCUUCUUUGCUGACGAGUGGCGGACGGGUGAGUAAUGUCUGGGAAACUGCCUGAUGGAGGGGGAUAACUACUGGAAACGGUAGCUAAUACCGCAUAACGUCGCAAGACCAAAGAGGGGGACCUUCGGGCCUCUUGCCAUCGGAUGUGCCCAGAUGGGAUUAGCUAGUAGGUGGGGUAACGGCUCACCUAGGCGACGAUCCCUAGCUGGUCUGAGAGGAUGACCAGCCACACUGGAACUGAGACACGGUCCAGACUCCUACGGGAGGCAGCAGUGGGGAAUAUUGCACAAUGGGCGCAAGCCUGAUGCAGCCAUGCCGCGUGUAUGAAGAAGGCCUUCGGGUUGUAAAGUACUUUCAGCGGGGAGGAAGGGAGUAAAGUUAAUACCUUUGCUCAUUGACGUUACCCGCAGAAGAAGCACCGGCUAACUCCGUG
rnacentral:rRNA from 1 species